rnacentral:rRNA from 1 species
AUUGAACGCUGGCGGCAGGCCUAACACAUGCAAGUCGAGCGAACGGCGGACGGGUGAGUAAUGUCUGGGAAACUGCCUGAUGGAGGGGGAUAACUACUGGAAACGGUAGCUAAUACCGCAUACCAUCAGAUGUGCCCAGAUGGGAUUCGCUAGGAGGUGGGGUAACGGCUCACCUAGGCGACGAUCCCUAGCUGGUCUGAGAGGAUGACCAGCCACACUGGAACGGAGACACGGUCCAGACUCCUACGGUAGGCAGCCGUGGGGAAUAGUGCACAAUGGGCGCAAGCCGGAUGCAGCCAUGCCGCGUGUGUGAAGAAGGCCGUCGGGUUGUAAAGCACUUUCAGCGGGGAGGCGUUACCCGCAGAAGAAGCACCGGCUAACUCCGUGCCAGCAGCCGCGGUAAUUC